rnacentral:rRNA from 1 species
AUGGGUUAACCUGUUUUAUAAUUGAUGGUCCACGUUUUACCUGACCUUAUCUUGAACUUAUAUAGUGGCAUAACUCUUGGAUGGGGAGUGUUUAGUUAUGGGUGAACAGCUUGUAUACCGUCGUCGAUUGGGGCCGUCUUGAGAGAGAGGGAAGAAUAGCCAAGGUGGAGGUAUAAGAUAAGUGUUAUUAUUUAUUAGCGCUGGUCUUAGUUGUCCAAUAAGUCAGAUCG